GGGGGUGAACUAGGGUCGACGUGUGUAGUGAAGAUGGUGCUGCAUGCCCAGGUACUCGGGUUUCUGGUAAAACACUCGGGAAACUUUCAACUGCCAACUCAAACAUGGCCCUGGCUGCGUAACUUCGGAUAUGCGCCUUGCCCGUCCGGUAGCCCUCCCGAGGCGACUUGAUGGGUAUCGAAAAUUCGGGAUAGCCUGCCGGUGCGUCGUCCGGCGGUGGGCAAAACUCUAGACGACUUGUCCGUCCGUGGGUCUGUCCUUUGACCAGCGUGCGGAGAGACUAAAAAAAGGACUAUGCAUGUAGAUGCGCUGUUGGAUCGAUGCACGGACGGGGGUGCGAAUCCCCCCACCUCCACUG
rnacentral:tmRNA from 1 species